rnacentral:lncRNA from 1 species
AGGGUUGUUUAUCCUGCGUUUCUCUUGGCCUUACCCUGGCCUAGAUGACACCCGUGAGUGGGGAGGGAAUGAAUCAUUACAGGUACCGUUGGUGACUUGAUCAGUUGGUGACUUGAUCUGUUGGUGACUCUUGGUUCCUGUUGGUGACUUGGUUCAGAAGUGUGGGUCUCAGAUGACUUUGGGUUCCAGAUGACUUUGUGGUUCCGAAUUCAUGCCGAAGCUCUGAACCUGUGCCUUGAGAUACACAGCCAACCAGUCAUAAUUGCAUCA